GAUGAAGAACGUAGCGAAAUGCGAUAAGUAGUGUGAAUUGCAGAAUUCAGUGAAUCAUCGAAUCUUUGAACGCACAUUGCGCCCCUUGGUAUUCCAUGGGGCAUGCCUGUUCGAGCGUCAUUUGUACCUUCAAGCUUUGCUUGGGGUUGGGUGUUUGUCUCGCCUUUGCGUGUAGACUCGCCUUAAAAUAAUUGGCAGCCGGCGUAUUGAUUUCGGAGCGCAGUACAUCUCGCGCUUUGCACUCAUAACGACAGCGUCCAAAAGUACAUUUUACACUCUUGACCUCGGAUCAGGUAGGGAUACCCGCUGAACUUAAGCAUAUCAAUAAGCGGAGGA
rnacentral:misc_RNA from 1 species